UGAAGGUUGCUGGGUCCUCAGCGAGGGCCGCCUGCUGGGGCCAUGACUCCCUCAGUUCACUCCCAUGCGGGCAGGAGGCCUCCCUCCGCCGGCUUGCCUGCGCACCGGGGCCGUGGGACCCUGGGACUCUGUUGUGGUCCCCCUCUGUGAACUGCAUUUGAAGAGAAAAGUACCAAGUGGGGCUUUCCUUCACUGGAACUAGAGCACCAGGCUGCCUGCCCAAGGAAAAGGACCCCCCCAGCUCGUGACCCCCAAGGAGGGCUGCUUGGGGGUGCUGAGCAUGUGGGCAGGAGCCCCAGGCCCUGGACUCUGCUCCCGGUCGGCCUACUGACCUUGGGCAAGUCUUCUUCCAUCCUGGUCUAUGAUGAGAGAUCUCAGCAUGAAGCCUCAUAAUAGCCUGGCUGGUGUCCUGACUACAAGUCCCACAUGGGAGUUCGCAUGCAGGCAUCAUCCUUGCAUUGAACCUCAAGACCCCCCAGGAAGAGUUUCCUGAACAUUGCUGAUGUCCUGAAUACCCAACAUCUAUGAAGCCCAAAUGAACUUGUUAAAAAUAAAAAAGGGCUGGAGUGGACACUGUCCUGCCUAGACUCUGCAUCCUUGACAGCCACCUGCCUCCAGGGCCAAAGUCUAUAUGCCAACCAUUAAGAAAGCCAAGGAGAGUCC